rnacentral:rRNA from 1 species
CAAUAGCGUGUAUUAAAGUUGUUGCAGUUAGAACGCUCGUAGUCGGAUUUCGGGGCGGGCCGACCGGUCUGCCGAUGGGUAUGCACUGGUCGGCGCGUCCUUCCUUCCGGAGACCGUCCCUACUCUUAACUGAGCGGGGGCGGGAGACGGGACUUUUACUUUGAAAAAAUCAGAGUGUUUCAAGCAGGCAGCUCGCUCUUGCAUGGAUUAGCAUGGGAUAAUGAAAUAGGACUUUGGUGCUAUUUUGUUGGUUUCGAACACCGAAGUAAUGAUGAGAAGGGACAGUCAGGGGCACUCGUAUUCCGCCGAGAGAGGUGAAAUUCUCAGACCAGCGGAAGACGAACCACUGCGAAAGCAUUUGCCAGGGAUGUUUUCACUGA